rnacentral:rRNA from 1 species
GUGGGGAAUAUUGCACAAUGGGCGCAAGCCUGAUGCAGCAACGCCGCGUGAGGGACGACGGCCUUCGGGUUGUAAACCUCUUUUAGUAGGGAAGAAGCGAAAGUGACGGUACCUGCAGAAAAAGCACCGGCUAACUACGUGCCAGCAGCCGCGGUAAUACGUAGGGUGCAAGCGUUGUCCGGAAUUAUUGGGCGUAAAGAGCUCGUAGGCGGUUUGUCGCGUCUGCUGUGAAAACCCGAGGCUCAACCUCGGGCCUGCAGUGGGUACGGGCAGACUAGAGUGCGGUAGGGGAGAUUGGAAUUCCUGGUGUAGCGGUGGAAUGCGCAGAUAUCAGGAGGAACACCGAUGGCGAAGGCAGAUCUCUGGGCCGUAACUGACGCUGAGGAGCGAAAGCGUGGGGAGCGAACAGGAUUAGAUACCCUGGUAGUCC